rnacentral:snoRNA from 1 species
AUCCUUUUGUAGUUCAUAAGCGUGAUGAUUGGGUUUUCACGCGCAUGCGUGAGAUGUGCCUCCCUCAGACCUUGUUACGACAUCGGCGCAUUACCCGUCUGACG